GAUGAACGCUGGCGGCGUGCCUAAUACAUGCAAGUCGAGCGAAUGGAUUAAGAGCUUGCUCUUAUGAAGUUAGCGGCGGACGGGUGAGUAACACGUGGGUAACCUGCCCAUAAGACUGGGAUAACUCCGGGAAACCGGGGCUAAUACCGGAUAACAUUUUGAACCGCAUGGUUCGAAAUUGAAAGGCGGCUUCGGCUGUCACUUAUGGAUGGACCCGCGUCGCAUUAGCUAGUUGGUGAGGUAACGGCUCACCAAGGCAACGAUGCGUAGCCGACCUGAGAGAGUGAUCGGCCACACUGGCACUGGGCCCCGGCCCAGACUCCUACGGGAGGCAGCAGUAGGGAAUCUUCCGCAAUGGACGAAAGUCGGACGGAGCAACGCCGCGUGCGUGAUGAGGGCUUUCGGGUCGUAAAACUCUGUUGUUAGGGAAGAACAAGUGCUAGUUGAAUAAGCUGGCACCUUGACGAUACCUAACCAGAAAGCCACGGCUAACUACGUGCCAGCCGCCGCCGUAA
rnacentral:rRNA from 1 species